rnacentral:rRNA from 1 species
GAUGAACGCUGGCGGCGUGCCUAAUACAUGCAAGUCGGGCGAACGGACGAGAAGCUUGCUUCUCUGAUGUUAGCGGCGGACGGGUGAGUAACACGUGGAUAACCUACCUAUAAGACUGGGAUAACUUCGGGAAACCGGAGCUAAUACCGGAUGAUAUUUUGAACCGCAUGGUUCAAAAGUGAAAGACGGUCUUGCUGUCACUUAUAGAUGGAUCCGCGCUGCAUUAGCUAGUUGGUAAGGUAACGGCUUACCAAGGCAACGAUGCAUAGCCGACCUGAGAGGGUGAUCGGCCACACUGGAACUGAGACACGGUCCAGACUCCGACGGGAGGCAGCAGUAGGGAAUCUUCCGCAAUGGGCGAAAGCCUGACGGAGCAACGCCGCGUGAGUGAUGAAGGUCUGCGGAUCGUAAAACUCUGUUAUUAGGGAAGAACAUAUGUGUAAGUACUGUGCACAUCUUGACGGUACCUAAUCAGAAAGCCACGGCUAACUACGUG